GUCUAGGCGACGUCUGGGCUCGACCUGCCUGGAGCCGCCGCCGGUGCAAUCUUGGUGGUAUACAAAUACUCCAGCCAGGCCCUGGAGGACUGAUGUGKAGAAGGGUUUCGUGUGRRCARCCRUUGCACACGAGUCASUCSAKCCUAARCCCUAUGASAAAUCCRAURCURWCKKCGAUSGGAMAAAUUUUUYSRYGABKUAACGGCCCAUUGAUCGGGCGAAAGGGAAUCCGGUUCCUAUUCCGGAACCCGGCAGCGGAACCGUAGUUUGUCGGGCCUUCGGGUUCGUCAGGGUAACCUAAAAGGGCCCGGAGACGCCGUCGGGAGCCCCGGAAAGAGUUUUCUUUUCUGCAUGAGCGUUCGAGUUCCCUGGAAUCCUCUCGCAGGGAGAUAGGGUUUGGAACGCGAAGAGCACCGCAGUUGCGGCGGUGCCCGGGAAUUCCCGACGGACCUUGAAAAUCCGGGAGAGGGCCACGUGGAGGUGUCGCGCCGGCUCGUACCCAUAUCCGCAGCAGGUCUCCAAGGUGAAGAGCCUCUAGUCCAUAGAAUAAUGUAGGUAAAGGGAAGUCGGCAACAUCGAU
rnacentral:rRNA from 1 species